rnacentral:rRNA from 1 species
AUCAUAGGACACUUGUAAAACACGAGUUUGAUAGAAGCGGUGUGUAAGCAUCAAGCUUCGGCGAGAUGUUCAGCAUGCGCUCACUAACAGUCCAUACCUCUAGUUUA